rnacentral:rRNA from 1 species
UACCAGCACCCCGAGUGGUCGGGACGUUUAUUGGGCCUAAAGCAUCCGUAGCCGGUUCUACAAGUCUUCCGUUAAAUCCAACUGCUUAACAGGUGGGCUGCGGAAGAUACUAUAGAGCUAGGGGGCGGGAGAGGCAAGCGGUACUCGAUGGGUAGGGGUAAAAUCCGUUGAUCCAUUGAAGACCACCAGUGGCGAAGGCGGCUUGCCAGAACGCGCUCGACGGUGAGGGAUGAAAGUUGGGGGAGCAAACCGG